rnacentral:rRNA from 1 species
CAGCAGCCGCGGGAAUACGGAGGGUGCAAGCGUUAAUCGGAAUUACUGGGCGUAAAGCGCACGCAGGCGGUCUGUCAAGUCGGAUGUGAAAUCCCCGGGCUCAACCUGGAAACUGCAUUCGAAACUGGCAGGCUAGAGUCUUGUAGAGGGGGGUAGAAUUCCAGGUGUAGCGGUGAAAUGCGUAGAGAUCUGGAGGAAUACCGGUGGCGAAGGCGGCCCCCUGGACAAAGACUGACGCUCAGGUGCGAAAGCGUGGGGAGCAAACAGGAUUAGAUACCCCAGUAGUCCCUGUCUCUUAUAC